rnacentral:rRNA from 1 species
CCUACGGGAGGCUGCAGUGAGGAAUAUUGGUCAAUGGGCUUACGCCUGAACCAGCCAAGUCGCGUGAGUGAAGACUGCCCUAUGGGUUGUAAACCUCUUUUGUCAGGGAGCAAUUGGCGCUACGUGUAGCGUUAUCAAGAGUACCUGAAGACAAAGCAUCGGCAAACUCCGUGCCAGCAUGCUCGGUGAUACGGGGGAUGUGAGCGUUAUCCGGAUUUGUUGGGGUUUAGGGAUGCGUAGGCGGAAUGCCCAUUCCGCGAUAAAAUCGCGGGGCUAAACCUCGCACAGCCGGUGAAACUGGCGUUCUUGAGUGGGCGAGAAGUAUGCGGAAUGCGUGGUGUAGCGGUGAAAUGCAUAGAUAGCACGCAGAACGCCGGUUGCGAAGGCAGCAUACCGGCGCCCAACUGACGCUGAAGCACGAAAGCGUGGGUAUCGAACAGGAUUAGAUACCCCUGUAGUC